rnacentral:misc_RNA from 1 species
GAAAGAGAAAAGAGAGAGAAAGGAAAGAAAAAGGAUCAUUAAAGUGACCCUCGGUUCUGGUUUCGAAUCGUCGAUAACGACGUAGUGCCGUUUACCAUAGGUAAAGUGAGAGUGUCGACGAUAUCGAGAGUCUCGAUCGCAGCGCGAUACCGACUGUAACGGGCGACAUUUCGCGGUUUCUCGCUAGGCAGCGCGAUAUUUUCGAGAGAACACAGCACCACGCGAGGUGCUCGCGGUCAAAGUGGAUUACACGGAGGAAACGAACAUGAUGGACUCGGUGCCGGUUUCUGCGUCGGGGUCGAAGACCGGGUUGCAACCACAGCAGGGGGUACCAUACGACCUUGAGAGCGGGUUCGAGCCUCAGACGAGAGCACGGUCGCACACGUGGCCGCUGCCAAGACCGGAGGAAUACAUCGAGGGGAACGUGGUACCGAGCGUAUCGGCUAGCAAAGAGGGCGUCGAAGGCGUCGAAAGUGGCACGCCGCCUCAGCAUGGCUCUCUCGGCCAAGGUACCGGCCUGCUUCCGGUCAAGAAGAAUUCGUCCCGACGAAACGCCUGGGGAAAUCACAGUUAUGCCGAUCUCAUUACUCAAGCCAUUACCAGCGCCCCGGACGAGCGAUUGACUCUCUCUCAGAUCUACGAAUGGAUGAUGCAGAACAUCCCCUACUUCAGGGAGAAGGGAGAAAGCAACAGCAGCGCUGGGUGGAAGAACUCCAUAAGACACAACCUGUCGUUGCACAGCAGAUUCAUGCGAGUGCAGAACGAGGGUACCGGGAAGAGUUCCUGGUGGAUGAUCAAUCGCGACGCGAAACCAGGCAAGUCGCGUAGGAGGGCAAUAACCAUGGAGACCAGUAAAUUUGAGAAGCGACGUGGCAGGGUGAAGAAGAAGAUCGAGGCGCUAAGGAACGGGGGUUUACAAGCUGACGCGACACCUAGCCCCAGUAACAGCGUCAACGAGGGGUUGGAUCUCUUCCCGGACAGUCCUCUUCAACCUGGCAGUGGAUUUCAGCUUUCACCUGAUUUUCGUCCUCGAGCUUCGAGCAAUGCCUCAUCCUGUGGUCGAUUAAGUCCAAUCCCAGCGAUCCCUGGGAAACCGGAAUGGACUCCAACAUACGCACCCUCUUAUAGCCCAGAACAAUUAGCCGGUAGCCUCGCGGAAACGAUGAAACUGGAUCCCUAUCAAAUGUAUCAGACAUCACCACCGAGCCACCAGCAACAGACCGGGCCACCACCUUCUUAUUACGAGACCCAAUAUCAGAGGAGCAAUAGUCUGUCAACUGGAUCGUCUUCCUUCGCUCUGCAGCCAACUCCUCAAUCGGCAAAUCAGCAGAGAUGCCCGAUUCACGGUCUGCAGCCGUGUGCCUGUCAAAUGAACUUGAGUCCAGUGGCUGGAAUGUCACCGUCGUACCAACAGAGCGAACCAAGUCCCACGGCAUUAGGAAGCAAUCAGCAGCAAACUCUGCAGUACAUGAUACAGACGCAACAGUGCCAGCAGCAGCAGCAGCAGCAACAGCAACAGCAGCAGCAGCAGCAACAACAGCCGCAAACAGGGGCAACGGGUUCCAGCCCACCGCAAACACCCACGCCAUGCGGCCCCACACCUACCACGAUGAUGGGCCAAUUGAUGGGAGCCCUCAAUAACCCGACGAUCCUCGACGAUCUGAACAUUAACAUCGAAUCGUUGCACGGUGGAUUCGACUGCAACGUGGAGGAGGUGAUCAAGCACGAGCUGUCGAUGGACGGGACGCUGGACUUCAACUUCCAACAGGGCGUGAUGGGCACGGCCGCGAUUCAAGUGAGCGACAGCAACGUCGGCCAGAACGGCGCCGUGUCCCAGAACAACGUGGUCGGCACGACGGCCGGAAACGCGCCCGCAGGAGUAUACGUGAGCACCAACGCGGCGACUCCUGCUGCACCACCCUCGUGGGUUCACUAGCAGUGGACCCCACUGCCCUCGACACCCCCGUCGUCCUUGUCGUCGUCGUUACUAGACGGACAAGAGACCUUCCACGGACAGUCCGAGGGACAGUUCAACGGUUACAGAAUUUCUAGGAAAAAUUGUGCAGAGGCAAACCUGAUUCUUACAAUGUACGCCUUUGCGCUUGGAAAACCAAAAAAAGAAAAAAAAAAAAAGGAAAAAAAAAGAAGUGAAUCCGAAAACACGUAUGGGGCUGUAUGUUUACUUAGUCUCGCCACGAAUAUUCAUCAUGUUUGUAUAUAAUAUUUGUAAAAGUAAUAACCUAACCGCGUAUCGAAUCCUCUGAAAACACGAAAAAUGUUAUUUACUGUACUUAAAUAUUUGUUUGAACAUUCGAAGCGUGGCGAAUCCAGGCUAAAUUGUGUAAAAUAUU